GUUGACCUCGGAUCAGGUAGGAAUACCCGCUGAACUUAAGCAUAUCAAUAAGCGGAGGAAAAGAAACCAACAGGGAUUGCCCCAGUAACGGCGAGUGAAGCGGCAACAGCUCAAAUUUGAAAUCUGGCCCUAGGCCCGAGUUGUAAUUUGCAGAGGAUGCUUUUGGCGCGGUGCCUUCCGAGUUCCCUGGAACGGGACGCCAUAGAGGGUGAGAGCCCCGUACGGUUGGACACCAAGCCUUUGUAAAGCUCCUUCGACGAGUCGAGUAGUUUGGGAAUGCUGCUCAAAAUGGGAGGUAUAUUUCUUCUAAAGCUAAAUAUUGGCCAGAGACCGAUAGCGCACAAGUAGAGUGAUCGAAAGAUGAAAAGCACUUUGAAAAGAGGGUUAAACAGCACGUGAAAUUGUUAAAAGGGAAGCGCUUGUGACCAGACUUGCGCCCGGUGAAUCACCCAGCUCUCGCGGCUGGGGCACUUUGCCGGCACAGGCCAGCAUCAGCUUGCCGUCGGGGACAAAAGCUUCAGGAACGUAGCUCUCUUCGGGGAGUGUUAUAGCCUGUUGCAUAAUACCCUUCGGCGGGCUGAGGUACGCGCUCCGCAAGGAUGCUGGCGUAAUGGUCAUCAGCGAC
rnacentral:rRNA from 1 species